GACGAACGCUGGCGGCGUGCUUAACACAUGCAAGUCGAACGGAAAGGCCCUGCUUUUGUGGGGUGCGCGAGUGGCGAACGGGUGAGUAACACGUGAGUAACCUGCCCUUGACUUUGGGAUAACUUCAGGAAACUGGGGCUAAUACCGGAUAGGAGCUCCUGCUGCAUGGUGGGGGUUGGAAAGUUUCGGCGGUUGGGGAUGGACUCGCGGCUUAUCCGCUUGUUGGUGGGGUAGUGGCUUACCAAGGCUUUGAAGGGUAGCCGGCCUGAGAGGGUGACCGGCCACAUUGGGACUGAGAGACGGCCCAGACUCCUACGGGAGGCAGCAGUGGGGAAUAUUGCACAAUGGGCGGAAGCCUGAUGCAGCAACGCCGCGUGCGGGAUGACGGCCUUCGGGUUGUAAACCGCUUUCGCCUGUGACGAAGCGUGAGUGACGGUAAUGGGUAAAGAAGCACCGGCUAACUACGUG
rnacentral:rRNA from 1 species